ensembl:lncRNA
AUGUUAGAAGUACACGCUGUCCAAUCUAUUAAGACUGUGUCUGUUCCCCGAAUACUGAGGUCAAAAUAUAAAUUUAAUGUAGGAUCUAGAAAAAAUCUUAUCAUGAUUAAACCAGAAAAACGUAAAAUAAAUGAACAAAAACAAUUUCUAAAGUUUGGGCUCAUAAACAUUAGAUCACUCACACCCAAAGCAGUUAUUGUAAAUGAAAUGAUCACAGAUAAUAGUUUUGAUGUACUCUGCUUGACUGGAACCUGGCUAAAACCAAAUUAUUAUAUUGGUCUAAAUGAGUCUACUCCACCAAACUACUGUUAUAAACAUGAGCCCCGUCAGACUGGUCGUGGGGGAGGUGUUGCAACAAUAUAUAGUGAUAUUCUCAAUGUUACACAGAAAACAGGAUACAGGUUUAAAUCAUUCGAAAUACUUCUGCGUAAUGUUACACUGUCAGAUAUGCAAAAGAAAUCUAUUGUAUCUCUUUCUCUGGCUACUGUGUAUAGACCACCAGGGCCGUAUACAGAAUUUGGAGAUUUCCUCUCAGACCUGUUGGUUACCGCUGAUAAAGCACUAAUUUUCGGAGAUUUUAACAUUCACGUUGAUAAUACAAAUGAUGCAUUAGGACUUGCGUUUACUGACUUAUUAAACUGUUUUGGAGUAAAGCAAAAUGUCACCGGGCCCACUCAUCGUUUUAAUCAUACGCUAGAUUUAAUUAUAUCACAUGGAAUCGAUCUUACUGAUAUAGAUAUCGUACCUCAAAGUGAUGAUGUUACUGACCAUUUCCUUCUAUCGUGCAUUCUGCGUAUUAAUAAUAAUAACUAUAUAGCUUCGCGUUAUCGUCCGGGCAGAACUAUUGUUCCAGCCACCAAAGACAGAUUCGCAAAUAACCUGCCUGAUUUAUCUCAACUGCUCUGUGUACCCAUAAACACACAUGAACUAGACAAAAUGACUGGCAAUAUGGGCACUAUCUUCUCUAAUACAUUAGAAGCUGUUGCCCCCAUCAAAUUGAAAAAGGUUAGAGAAAAACGUACUAUGCCAUGGUACAACAGUAAUACCCACGCUCUCAAGAAAGAAACUCGUAGGACUUCC